rnacentral:rRNA from 1 species
GAUGAACGCUAGCUACAGGCUUAACACAUGCAAGUCGAGGGGCAGCACAGUGUAGCAAUACACGGGUGGCGACCGGCGCACGGGUGCGUAACGCGUAUCCAAUCUUCCCGUUACUCUUGGAUAGCCUUCCGAAAGGGAGAUUAAUACAAGAUGGUAUUCAAAUUCCGCAUGUUAUUUGAAUUAAAGAUUUAUCGGUAACGGAUGGGGAUGCGUGACAUUAGGUAGAUGGCGGGGUAACGGCCCACCAUGCCUACGAUGUCUAGGGGUUCUGAGAGGAAGGUCCCCCACACUGGAACUGAGACGCGGUCCAGACUCCUACGGGAGGCAGCAGUGAGGAAUAUUGGUCAAUGGCCGGAAGGCUGAACCAGCCAAGUAGCGUGAAGGAUGAAGGUUCUAUGGAUUGUAAACUUCUUUUAUAUAGGAAUAAAGCCCACUACGUGUAGUGGUUUGUAUGUACUAUAUGAAUAAGCAUCGGCUAACUCCGUGCCAGCAGCCGCCGUAAGAC